rnacentral:lncRNA from 1 species
AUUGCAACUUGGGGAAAGUUAUAAUGACACUAAAGGAGUCAGAUGUCGUGCAGGUGGUGGGAAAACAGGACCCCUGGAAUGUGGGUAGGGAAAAACCCUACAAUAGUACAAGGGACAUAUACUCAAGUGUGUCCCAAGUUCGGGGCAGUCGGACACAAGCCGUUGAAGAUAGCAGUUAGACACAAGCUGUUGAAGGUAGCAGUAGGACACAAGCUGUUGAAGGUAGCAGUUGGACACAAGUCAUGGUAGGAAGCAGUCGGAAGAAAACAUUGAAGCCCAACUAGGCCAAAGUUUGUCAAGAAGUUCAGCACUUUGUAUAGGUCGUUGCUUUGAGAGAAGAGAAGCACAAGGUAAGAGAAGGGAAAGCCCGCAAAAGGACGAUUGCACUAUUACCAACUAUCGCCCAGUAAGUGACUAAAGACUGUGCCGCCAAAUUUUAAUUGGACUAGAGACUGUGUUUGUGCUGUGAAAGAAAGGAAGUUUUUUUUGUUGUUUGCAUCGGUCC